UUGACUGAGCAGUUUGAUGUUUUUAUUCCUCAGACUCUGAACACUGUUGUGGGUCUACUGAAGCUGUGUUCCGAUUGGUCGUAACUGCUCUGGUGGGCGUGGCUGCUGUGGCUGCUGUUGUUCUUCUGGUUUAUGACAUCAGAUCUGGAAGAGCUGAACAAGAUCGAGCAUGUUUUCUCACAUAAGAAACCUAGAUCAUGAUACAGUGAUGCUCCUCUACUGGCUGAACACAUGAAAGCACAUGAAAACAUAUCUCUCUUUGCCAUUUGCAGGGCUUCAGUGUCCUGUUCUCACGAACGCAGUGCCCGGUCUCUGCUGUCAAAUGAGCUAAACUGAUGAACGUUACUCAUCUGCUCUGUCUCAUCUGCUUCGACCUCUCAUUCUCUCACUCGGGUGCCGGCAUUCCUCGACCCUACGAGCUAAACUGUGGAACGUUAUUCAUCUGCAGAAGAAGGACGGCUCCCUGCGCCCCUGUAUUGAUUACAGAGGUUUGAAUGACAUUACAAUAAAGAACAGGUACCCCAUACCUUUAAUGUCUUCUGCUUUUGAAUUGUUGCAGGGAGCUCGGGUCUUCAACAAGUUAGAUGUGCACAACGCCUACAACUUGGUGCGCAUUCAGGAGGGGGAUGAGUGGAAGACUGUGUUUAACACCCCUUUGGGACACUACGAGUACUUGGUUCUUCCGUUUGGUCUUACCAAUGCUCCAGCCGUUUUCCAGGGACUCGUCAACAGCAUGUUGGGUGACAUAAUUAAUCAAUUUGUCUUUGUGUAUUUGGAUGAUAUCUUGAUUUUCUCCCCCUCUCUCCAAUUACACAUUCAGCAUGUCAGACGGGUUCUCCACUGGUUGCUAGAAAACAAGUCUUCAAGGCAGAAUAUUGCGAAUUCCAUGCUGAGUCUUUUACAUUCCUUUUAUCCACGUUAUUUUUACAGGAGGGAUCAAGCCUGAUCCCGCUAAGAUAGAAGAUGUCGCCCAGUGACCGGUCCCUGAUUCCCAUAAGGCUCUGCAGCGUUUCCUGGGUUUUGCCAACUUCUACCAUCAAUACAUCAGGAAUUUUGGUCAGAUUGCUGCACCGGUCACAGCCUUAACCUCCACUAAGGUGUCCUUCAGAUGGAACCGGGAGGAGCAGGUAGCCGUUGACAUUUUAAAGUCCCGUUUUGUCUCUGCACCUGUUCUGUUGGUACUAGAUCCUGAGGCCCAGUUCAUUGUCGAGGUUGAUGCUUCGGAUGUUGGGGUUGGCGCAGUUCUAUAUCAGCAUUCCCUCUGUGACGGGAAGGUCCACCCGUUUGCGUUCUUCUCUCGUUGUCUCAGCCCUGCAGAACAUAACUACGACAUCGGCAAUAGAGAGCUAAUGGCGGUACGAUUGGCCUUGGGUGAGUGGCGUCACUGGUUGGAGGGGUCGGUGCAGCCCCUCUUGGUCUGGACGGAUCACAAGAACCUGGAAUACAUCCGUUCGGCCAAGAGGCUGGGCGCUCUUCUUUGCCAGAUUCAAUUUCCCCCUCUGGUACCGGCCGGGAUCUAAGAACACCAAAUACGAUGCCCUCUCUCACCUGUUCGAGGCCCGAGGGAGGGAGUUUGUGGCCGAGGCCAUCCUUCCUGAGGGGGUGGUGGUCGGGGCUCUUUCGUGGGGUAUCGAGCAACAGGUAGAGGAGGCCGGUCGAGGGGUGCAGGUGCCAGGAGAGUGCCCGGUGGGCAGGUUGCCGGUGCCGGCAGCGCUGUGCAUUGAGGUCUUUGAGUGGGGUCACGCAUCCAGGUUAGUCUGCCAUCCAAGUAUUCAGAGAAUGUUGUCUGCCAUCCGACAACGCUUCUGGUGGCCUGCUAUGGCCGCAGAUGUUAGACCGUUUGUGUUGGCCUGCCCCACAUGUGCCCAAUGUAAGCCUGUCAAUCGCCCUCCUGAUGGUCUAUUUAAUGCUCUCCCUAUCCCUUCCCGCCCUUGGUCACACAUCGCCCUUGAUUUUUUCCUCUGGGCUUCCACUGUCGAAGGGUAACACUGUGAUUCUCACGGUGGUGGAUCGCUUUUCCAAAGCAGUUAAUUUCAUCCCCCUGCCCAAGCUGCCCUCCGCCUGGGAGAUCGCCCAACUGGUGGUGGAUCACGUCUUCCGUCUCCAUGGGUUGCCGGUGGAUGUGGUUUCAGAUAGGGGUCCCCAGUUCGUCUCCCGGUACUGGAGGGAAUUUUGUAGGCAGAUUGGGGCCUCUGCGAGUCUGUCUUCAGGUUUUCAUCCCCAGACCAAUGGGCAGUGUGAGCGGGCCAGCUAGGAUCUAGGAAGAAUGCUCUGCUGUCUAACAUCCAACAAUCUGAAUUCCUGGUGCCAGCAGCUCUCCUGGGCAGAAUACACUCAAAACACCCUUCCUGUGGCCACGUCAGCUAUAUCUCCUUUUGAGUGUGCCAUUGGUUAUAACCCACCUCUGUUCCUGUCACAGGAACCAGACACAGUGGUUCCAUCCACCCUGGCUUUCGUCCAGCGCUGCCGUCGCACUUGGGAGAAAGUCAGGAGAAUUUCGGUCCAAACCUCUGACCGAACCAAGACUGCAGCCGAUCGUCGGCGGUCCUCUCCUCCUGCCUAUGUGUGUGGUCAGCAGGUUUGGCUUUCUACCAAGGAUCUGCCUCUCUGGGUGCCUUCUCGUAAGCUGGCACCCAGAUUCAUUGGGCCAUUCGGCAUCACCAAGGUGGUUAGUCCGGUGGCGAUCAGGCUCAAGCUUCCUCCUACUCUUGGUCAGGUUCAUCCGGUGUUUCAUGUUUCUAGGGUCAAGCUGGUGUUCUCUUCCCCCCUUAAUCCUGCUUGUAGUUGACCCACCCCCCACCCCCUCAUCUUGUGGAUGGAUCUCCUACCUAUACGGUUAAGAGAUUACUCGAUGAGCGGCGCCGCGGCAGGGGGUUUCACUAUCUUGUGGACUGGGAGGGUUAUGGUUCAGAGGAGAGGGCCUGGGUGCCGUCCCGUGACAUUCUGGACUGCUCGUUGAUUGAGGACUUCCAUCGGCAUCGAGGUAGGCCCCUUCCUGGAGGCGCCAGGUGACUGUCGGGUUCGGGGCUAAUCACCUGCCUUUUGGGGUUGUGAAUAUGUGUUGUGUGUUUGGAUGGUUUGACAGCUCACCGUGUCUGUCUGUUUAAUUUGAGUUUCCCCCCACCCUCCGUGUUUCUCUGUUGUUACCUUAAUUGUACAUGCUGGACUUUAUGAACUACAUGCCACACGUAUGAUGAUGAUUUUCACUCUUAAAGUCUAUGGUGUUACAGAUGCAGUGAAGUCAGUGUCAGUGUUGGAGGGGGAUUCAGUCACUCUAAACUCUGAUAUUACUGGAUUAGAGGAAGAUGUGAUUCAGUGGGUGUUCAUCAACUCUUUAAUAGCUCAUAUCAAUGUAAAGGCUGACCACAUUACUAUAUUUGAUUAUAAUGAUGGGAGAUUCAGAGACAGACUGAAGCUGGACAAAAAAACUGGAUCUCUGACCAUCACAGACAUCAGAAUUGCACACUCUGGACUUUAUGAACUGCAGACCUACAGAGAGGUCAAAUACUGGAAAUUCAGUCUUACAGUCUAUGCUAGUCCACCUGUACCUGUCAUUAGCAGAGACUGUUCUUCAUCAUCAGUAUCGUCAAAGACCAAAUGUUCAUUUCUGUGCUCAAUGGUGAAUGUGGGUCAUGUGACUCUCUCCUGGUACAAAGGAAACAGUUUAUUG